rnacentral:rRNA from 1 species
UGGGGAAUAUUGCACAAUGGGCGAAAGCCUGAUGCAGCGACGCCGCGUGCGGGAUGAAGGCCUUCGGGUUGUAAACCGCUUUCAGCAGGGACGAGGCCGCAAGGUGACGGUACCUGCAGAAGAAGCCCCGGCUAACUACGUGCCAGCAGCCGCGGUAAUACGUAGGGUGCAAGCGUUAUCCGGAUUUACUGGGUAUAAAGGGUGAGUAGACGGCAAUGCAAGUCAGCCGUGAAACCUUGGAGCUCAACUCCAAGCCUGCAGCUGAAACUGUAUAGCUAGAGUACAGGAGAGGAAAGCGGAAUUCCUAGUGUAGCGGUGAAAUGCGUAGAUAUUAGGAAGAACACCAGUGGCGAAGGCGGCUUUCUGGACUGAAACUGACGUUGAGGCACGAAAGUGUGGGGAGCAAACAGGAUUAGAUACCCUGGUAGUCCACACUGUAAACGAUGGAUACUAGGUGUAGGCAUGAAUGUGUCUGUGCCGGCGCAAAUGCAAUAAGUAUCCCACCUGGGGAGUACGACCGCAAGGUUA